rnacentral:rRNA from 1 species
AGUGAACGCUGGCGGUAGGCCUAACACAUGCAAGUCGAACGGCAGCACAGUAAGAGCUUGCUCUUACGGGUGGCGAGUGGCGGACGGGUGAGGAAUACAUCGGAAUCUACUUUUUCGUGGGGGAUAACGUAGGGAAACUUACGCUAAUACCGCAUACGACCUACGGGUGAAAGCAGGGGAUCUUCGGACCUUGCGCGAUCGAAUGAGCCGAUGUCGGAUUAGCUAGUUGGCGGGGUAAAGGCCCACCAAGGCGACGAUCCGUAGCUGGUCUGAGAGGAUGAUCAGGCACACUGGAACUGAGACACGGUCCAGACUCCUACGGGAGGCAGCAGUGGGGAAUAUUGGACAAUGGGCGCAAGCCUGAUCCAGCCAUACCGCGUGUGUGAAGAAGGCCUUCGGGUUGUAAAGCCCUUUUGUUGGGAAAGAAGAGCAGCAGGUUAAUACCCCGCUGUUCUGACGGUACCCAAAGAAUAAGCACCGGCUAACUUCGUG